GACAACAUGAUUUUUAAGAGCCAAAGUAAUUUUGAUAUAUUGUAAGUUUGGGAACUACUGGUCUAAUACCCCUGACUUAAUAUCACAUUCCUGAUAAAUAUUACUAAAUAUAAGUCACAUCAUGUCUGAUUCAUCAUACUUAUAUUUUGCACCUUCUUACCUUCAUCUGUUAUUAGUUUAUUGCUUUUUCAACUUAUAUUUUAGAUUAAGCGUACAUAUGCAGGUUUGUUACAUGGUAUACUGCAUGAUGCUGAGGUUUGCGGUAUGAUUGAACCUGUCACCCAGGUAGAGAGCAUAGCACCCAACAGGUAGUUUUUCAACUCUUGCCCCCUCUCUCCCUCCUCCAAAAUCUGUCUUAAGUGCUAUGGUAUAUACAAGAAGGAAGACACAGAAACACAUGGGCUUUUUUUUUUUUUUUGAGAUGGAGUCUCACUUUGUUGCCAGGCUGGAGUGCAGUGGUGCGAUCUCAGCUCACCGCAACCUCCACCUCCCAGAUUCAAGUGAUUCUCCUGCCUCAGCCUCCCAAGUAGCUGGGACUACAGGUGCGCACCAUCAUGACCAGCUAAUUUUCGUACUUUUAGUAGAGACGGGGUUUCACCAUGUUGGCUAGGAUGGUCUCCAUCUCUUGACCUCAUGAUCCGCACACCUCGGCCUCUCAAAGUGCUGGGAUUAUAGGCGUGACACUCUGCGCCCAGCCCACAUGGGCUCUUUUAUCUCAAUGUGUGUGUGUGUGUGUGUGUGUGUGUGUGCAUAUUAUAGGUGUGUGUAGGAAAAAGAAUGUUAAAAAUGUACCAAUUUUGAAGGCGUAGACUAUGAAAUUACAAAUGCUUCAACAUUUUCUUCCCAAUACUUAUGUGGCAUUUUACAAAUUUCCAUCAAUAAAUGUGUAUUAUUUUUAUUGAAAAAGCAUAUUUUUAACAUGCCCUUCUAGAUGCCCUCCUAGCCAGACUGAAUCACCUCCCAUCUGAUUUUUCUUAAUUUUCUACCUUUAGGUUCUGGCUCAUUCAUUAACAUCAAUUUCCAUUCAUAAGUCCUCACAAACCCACUUUUCCUCUUGCCUGAGUGCCUCACAUACCCUACUGCUUGAGAUGGUUCCAGAGGCGGUCUCCUCUCUCCGUUAGAAACACCAGGCACACACCUGCCCCCAGUCUCGCCUGCACUCUCCUUUCCUCCCGCAGAGAGGCAUUCCUUUCUCCUCCUCUCAUCCUACACACCCUAUAAGAGAUAACCGAAAUCUUGCCUCCUCCAGCCAGCUUCUUAAUUCAUUUGUUCUCAAAGCCCUGGUUUGAGCUCACACAGCAUCUAGAGUGUUUUACAAAAUAUAAAAUAUUAUUAUCCCUGCCCCCAAUUUUUUGUUUUGGUUUGUGUGUUAUUUUCCCCUCCAAUAAGAUUGUGCCUUGGAGAGGGCUGGGAACAUAGUAUCAUAGAUAAAUGAAUAAAAUAACAUAAAAUAAAAUAAAAAUACAUAUACCCUUUGAACUAACUAUUCCACUUCUAUGUAAGCACAAUUAGAUGCAAGUAACACUCAUUUUAACACUACUGUAGUGGCAAAAAAUUGUAAACUCCUCAAAUGCCUAUUAAAAGAGGAAUGGUUUAAAGACACUAUUAUAGCCACACUAUGAAAUAUAAUACAGUAGUUAAGAAGAACGAGCUUGAUUUAUAUGUACUGACAAGAAGAAUCUAUAAGGUAUGUAAACAGUUGAAAAAAAAGCUACAGAGUUUUACAUUUGUCAAGAUCUAACACUAAACAAAAUUAGAAAUAUGUGAAAUCCAUAUACACAGGUAAAAAAAUACAUAUAAUGAGUCGUGGACGGAAACUCGCAAAUGUGAUAUUAAAGACUGGCACUAUAAGACUGAGUGAGAUUUGGAGAGUAUAGGAAAGGAGGCUUUUAGUUAAUAUAGGGAGAUAUUCAAAAAUUUAUGAGUGUGAUCUCAUGUAUUAGUUAUUCAGUUAAAGAAAGAAAAUUAAAUGAAAAAUUCAUUUUUAAAAAGGUUGCAAUCCUGAAUUAUGGGAAAGAAAUAAAAAUUAGCAAAACAUAUUUGCAAAGUGCCUCAGGAGGAAGGAGCUGAAACCCUAAAAAUGGGUGAGAUUUUUUUUUCAGGGACAAUACAGAAAAGAAGAGGCAAAGGGGCUGAGAUGGGAUACAGACGUGUAUCACACAGGCGUGUGCACAUUCUCAUUUAGAACUGGAACAAGGGAGUCAGAUUUAAAAUUCUGGUGCAGAUUCCAAAGGUGUUCUCUGAGGAAAAGUUAUUUUGUUUGGAGAUGCCAUGUGUUACAGUACAGAAAUGGAUAAACCUGGCUUAGAGCGUCACAUUCUUCCUCUGCUGGAGCAAGAGGUACAGAAGGAAUUGGAAUUUAGUGGAAUUGAAGAUCUUUUUGAACAGCAUCUACAGAAUGUAGUUCAUUCUUACCUGGCUGGGUAGGGAAGGUUGGAAGGGGAUGGUCAAUAAUCAUUCCUGGUCACUGUGAGUCUGGUAUCACCUUGUAGACCACAUGGGUGUCUCUUCCUGUCCAUAUCACUGUAACCCCAGUGUGGGCACUCCUGCUGGCCAGAAGGCCCAGGUUCUCUACACAUCACUGAGUCAGUCCCAUCUCCCCAGUGGGGCACCUUGACCAAAGCCAUCAGCUGAACCACCUUCUUCCUGUCCCUAGGAGAGAACCCUGAUCCGUGGGCUAAGAAUCUGAAGAAAGAAGACUAUGCGUUGCUGUGCCUCGAUGGUUCCAGGAAACCUGUGUGGGAGUUUAAGAAAUGCCACCUGGCCAGAGCCCCGAAUCAUGCUGUGGUCACACGUAAAGAUAAGGAAGAUUGUGUCUACAAGGUGUUACUUAACCAGCAGCGCCUAUUUGGAAGCAACGUAACUGACUGCUCGGGCAACUUUUGUUUGUUCCGGUCCGAAACCAAGGACCUUCUGUUCAGAGAUGACACAGUAUGUUUGGCCAAACUUCAUGACAGAAACACAUAUGAAAAAUACUUAGGAGAAGAAUAUGUCAAGGCUGUUGGUAACCUGAGAAAAUGCUCCACCUCACGUGAGUAGGAGGAACAGCAUGGGGAAGUGGCAACCAAACAUGGUGCUGAGUGCUGGGGUGGUGGGUACAGGAGGGGUAGGCUGUGGCCCUUGGGAUAGGACAACAUGGACAAAAUGAAAUGGUGAGUGAACAAUCUAAGCCCGGCAUGUAUGACAGGCGAGGCUGUAUGGGCAGAUAGUAAGGGGAUACAGGCUCAGAGCACUAAGGUAGUGAGCUUAUUGGGCAUAGAGAAUUCCAUCUUAUUUCUAAGAAAAGGACUGGGUUUAUGUGUACAUGCCAUUGCUCUGCAGUAAACUUUUGAUUAGAGUUGCCUUGUCCAAUAGGGUAGCCACCAGCAAGAUGUGACUAUUUAAAUUUAAGUUAAUUAAAAUUAAACUAAAUAAAAGAUGUAUUUCUUCAAUCCCACCCAGCUGCAUUUCAAGUGCUCAACAGCCACAUGUGGCUCCAUAUUGGUCAGCAAAGAGAAUGUUUGCAUCAUCACAGAAAGCUCUUUCAGACAGCGCUGCUCUAGACAGCUUCAACAAUGAUAGGUUCUGGUAACCAUAAAGUUGCCAUGCAUACUACUCAUUUGGAACACCAGUUUCUGAGAACUGAAAUAGAAUAAAACACAUCUUUGCAGUAUAACUAUGUUGGGUGUAACUGAGUCACCUGAAAAAAUUUGGAAGCUGGGGAAUAACAUGUGGUGGUGUAGGGCAGUUAGUCUUUCCACAGGAGUAUGCAGAUAAGGGAGUCUUGAUCCUUAUUAAAAUGCUGAUUAUCAGAGCCUUGAGAUACUGAUUUAGAAAGUCUGUGCUAGGUCAGGUAUCCACAUUUUAAAAGUUGCCCCCAUGUAAUUCUGACAGAAGCAGCAAUGUGCUUGUCUACGUUCGCUAUUGUGAGAAUCAAGUUGAUGUUUACCUAACCUAUAUCCUCCACAAAAGCAGACAGUCUGGCUCUGCUCUUCUUUCCUCCAUCCUUAGCCCACAGCACAGUAACUGGCACAUUGCAGGUGCUUUUUGCUAUGUCAGUUCCUCACCUGCUUAAAGAGGUCAGGGAGGACAGUCUUCCUGGGCGACUCCCGGCCUCACGAACUCAGAUGUGUGAGCCUCGCCCAUAAGAAACAAGGUGGGGAACCCUGUAGGGCAGGAAAAUCAUGUUACAGCUUUGGCAUGGGGCACUCCCCAGGAUAGGCACAGGAGCUGUGCAGGCAAGUAGAAAAGAGCACUGGGAGAACGGCCCAGUUCACAGAAGAGGAGGCAGCAAGUCUGCACACUUUGUACUAUGCUGAAAUUGUUCAAUCACUUGACAGUUCAGAAAUAAAUAUAGGAAGAUUUUGAAAAUCCUACCUCUCUCCUCUGCUCCACAGCACUCCUGGAAGCCUGCGCUUUCCGUAGACCUUAAAAUCUCAGAGGUAGGGCUGCCACCAAGGUGAAGAUGGGAACGCAGAUGAUCCAUGAGUUUGCCCUGGUUUCACUGGCCCGAGUGGUUUGUGCUAACCACGUCUGUCUUCACAGCUCUGUGUUGCCAUGUGUGCUGAACAAAAAAUAAAAAUUAUUAUUGAUUUU
rnacentral:sRNA from 1 species